rnacentral:misc_RNA from 1 species
GAUGAAGAACGCGGCGAAAUGCGAUAAGUAAUGUGAAUUGCAGAAUUCAGUGAAUCAUCGAAUCUUUGAACGCACAUUGCGCCCGCCAGCAUUCUGGCGGGCAUGCCUGUUCGAGCGUCAUUUCAACCCUCGAGCCCCCCCGGGGGCCUCGGUGUUGGGGGACGGCACACCAGCCGCCCCCGAAAUGCAGUGGCGACCCCGCCGCAGCCUCCCCUGCGUAGUAGCACACACCUCGCACCGGAGCGCGGAGGCGGUCACGCCGUAAAACGCCCAACUUUCUUAGAGUUGACCUCGGAUCAGGUAGGAAUACCCGCUGAACUUAAGCAUAUCAAUAAGCGGAGGA